AUACUGAAUACAUUCAAAUGCAAAGAGUUUGUUACUAUUUAACUUGCGGUGCUAACUGCAUGCCUUAAAUAUUUGCCAUGCAACAUACCGUAUCGUUGACAUUCUUUUCUCUGUUUUUAUAUGCUUCUGAAGCUGGAUUUGACAGAUCAGAGACAAAAAUUUCACUGCUGGAAAAACUAACAAAAACUGUCUGGGUUGUGCCUGGGGUUGUUGUUGAUUGAGCUCUGGUUGUAGUUGUUGGUUCAGCCGUAGAUGUAAGUUGUGUUGUUGUUGUUGUUGUUUCUGUGGAAGGGACUGAGUUUACUGUAACAGUCAUAGAUUCUGUUGUUGCAGAUGCAGGUGAGUUUGUUGAGUCAGGUUUUUGUGUAGGUUUGGCAGUGGUUGUAGACAGAGUUUCAGUUGUUGCUGAGCAGUAUUGUAUCAGCUGUUGUGUCACUUUUAAGCAGAAUUGUGUCGUUUGUGUAGCUGAGCUUGAUGUAACAGUCAUGUUUGUUGUAACCAGGGUUGUAGAUUGAGCUGUACUUGUUGUAGGUAGGUAUGUUGUUGCUGUCUGUGUUGUGGUGCUGUGUUGGGAUGUAAUUGAUUGUUUUGUUGUAGAUGUUAAAACAGUUGUGGUUGUUGGUUCAGCUGUAGAUGUAAGUUUUGUUGUUUCUGUAGGAGGGGCUGUAAUUGUAAUCCGAGAUGUAGUUGUAGGUGAGUUUGUUGUAACCAGGGUUGUAGAUGGCGCUGUACUUGUUGUAGGUAGGGAUGAUGUUGUUGUCUGCUUUGGGGCGCUUUGUUCAGAUGUAGUUGAUUGUUCAGUUGUAGGUGUUGAAGCAGUUGUGGUUUUUGGUUCAGUUGUAGAUGUUGCAGCAGUUGUGGUUUUUGGUUCAGCCGUAGAUGUAAGUUGUGUUGUUGUUGUUUCUGUAGGAGGAGCUGUAGUUGUAAGCAGAGUUGUAGUUGUGGGUGAGUUUGUUGUAACCUCAGUUGUAGAUUGAGCUGUACUUGUUGUAGGUAGGGAUGAAUUUGCUGACUGCAUUGUGGUGCUUUGUUCAGAUGUAGUUGAUUGCUCAGUUGUGAGUUGUGUUGUUUUUUCUGUAGUAAGGCUUGUAGUUGUAAGCCGAGUUUUAGUUGUAGCUGUAUUUGUUCUAACAGUCGUAGAUUCAGUUGUUGCAGUUAUAGGUGAGUUUGUUGAUUCAGGUGUUUGUGUUGGUUUGGCAGUGGUUGUAAACAGAGUUUCAGUUGUUGUUGAACAGUAUUGUAUAUGCUGUUGUGUCAGUUGUAAGCAGAAUUGUGUCGUUUGUGCAGGUGAGUAUGAUGUGACAGUCAUAGAUUCAGUUGUAGGUGAGUUUGCUGACUCAGCUGAUGCGCUACAAAACACUGUUGUUAAAAUCAAAAGUACAAAGCAAUUUUAGAGCAAUUUUCAUAUUUAAAUAAGUAACAAGAGAAAUAAGGAAUCUGGAUGUUCAGUAACUUACAGACCUAAACUUAACACUGCAAUUGUCAGUGUUUUUCUACUCAUCUUGGUAGCUGUCAAAUAGACCACCUGUAAACAUAUAAUACAUAACAUUAACAAACAUGUAAUGAAUGGCAUCAGUUUUGGCAUGUCAGUGAAGUGAGAAAAAAUUAAUAGUACACCCUCUUUCCAGAUAUUUAAUAAAGUUUUUUCGUCUUGUUUUGUUUUAUUUUCCUGUGAAUGAAAGACGAUUUGUCAUUUUUGCACAGUCCACAUUAAUGAAGAUGAAAGUAGUUAUGAUCAAUAAAAACAC
rnacentral:lncRNA from 12 species